rnacentral:rRNA from 1 species
UACGUAGGGUACAAGCGUUGUCCGGUAUUAUUGGGCGUAAAGAGCUCGUAGGUGGUCUGUCACGUCUGCUGUGGAAACGCAAGGCUCAACCUUGCGCGUGCAGUGGGUACGGGCGGACUAGAGUGCAGUAGGGGAGUCUGGAAUUCCUGGUGUAGCGGUGAAAUGCGCAGAUAUCAGGAGGAACACCGGUGGCGAAGGCGGGACUCUGGGCUGUAACUGACGCUGAGGAGCGAAAGCAUGGGGAGCGAACAGG